rnacentral:rRNA from 1 species
UACGUAGGGGCAAGCGUUGUCCGGAAUCAUUGGCGUAAGAGCGCGUAGGCGGUCCGUUAAGUCCGCUCUGAAAGCCCGGGGCUCAACCCGGGAGGCGGGCGGAUACUGUCGGGCUAGAGUCCGGAAGAGGCGAGUGGAAUUCCUGGUGUAGCGGUGAAAUGGCGCAGAGUAUCAGGAGGAACACCAAUGGCGAAGGCAGCUCGCUGGGACGGUACUGACGCUGAGGCGCGAAGCGUGGGGAGCAAACAGG